AGAAAACUUUGAUUCCCCAUUUUUUCUCCAUCAGCUCAAAUUUCUUCUCAAAAUUCAAAUCCAAGUUGCACCCAACUGCUGAUUCUUCUUAAACUCUCGAAUAACUCUUUAAUUCCCUCAAUACAUCACCAUUAUCAAGUGAAGCUUUUAAUGGCGGAAGAGAGUUUUGGGGAAGAAGACGACAUGUGUUUAGUUUAAUUAUUUUUAACGAGCUCACUUAAGGUGGUUACGACAAAGUUAACGGAUAAGGGGUUUUUCCUGAUAGCAAUUUAUAAAGGAGGUAAUGCAAAAUACCUAUUUAUUUUGGGGGAAAUGAAAAAUCCCUUUUAAACAAUUUUGAAGAAGUCUAUUUUGUUUUAGUAAAACUUAAACUAACAAUGACACAAAAACACCUUAGUAUUUUUUUAAGAAAAUCUUCAAAAUAUUAGUAUUGUUUAUAAGGAUCAAUUGAGUUUUGUUGCAUAUAGCAGCUCAGUUGGCACUAGUACUGAGUCACCAUGGUAUGUUUUAUUUUAAAAAAGAAAAGAAGCAGAAACCCAGAUCGUUUAACUAAAUUUAAAGACAUCGAUCAAAAACGUAUUUGUUUAUUUAAAAAUUAAUAUUGUCAAUACCAAAUCUAUAAUUGGUCAACGUGGUUCACCUUAUAAACACUGGUACUGAACCACCAUGGUAUGUUUCUAGUAUAAUUUCAAAAAUCAUAUAUCAGAUGAGACCAGCACACCCUAACCACAACUGUAGGGAGGGUAACUAGGCGGCGGACAAAGUCGACAACCAUGUUGCAGACGGAAGCCAAUCAAAACAUUUAGAAUACCAUUUGGGACCACAUUGUACCUACUUUCUAAAAACCAAAUUGUACUUACCCGCGUGUAAUCAACGUAUACUUAAUACAAGAAACUAUGCUUAUAAGAAAAAGAAAAAGAAAAAAAAAUGGUACAACCAGCUGGGAUAAAACCCCAUGAAUCUGGUUGUUAUCUACCGUGUAGGUAGCUGUUAGUUUUCAGCAACAUAGCUAGGCUAAAUUUGUGUAACGAGAUAUGCCACUUUGUCAAGAUGGUAACCUGUAAUGAAAAUCGUGAUAAUCUUUCAUUCAACGCAUUUAUUUAUUUAUUUAUUUUAUAUAGAAUUUGAGGAUGAUUCCUUAGUCUGUGGUUGAAAGUUGAACCAAAAGCUUGAAUUCUAAAAUCCUGGCCCCCGACCAAUAAAAAUCGAGUUCCGGACAUCAUUUUUUUUCUUUCUUUCUUCGUAGAGUAGUUAAUUUUAUUAAAAGGGAACUUCUAUAGGGUAAGAACGCCACAUCGAAUCAUUCAUUACAAUUACGUUAAGGAAAGUUGGGCAUGAGUGAUCCCAGAUAAAGGCGUUUACAUUUCCUUCUAUUUGCAGUUGCCUAUGUAUUGCGAAAUUCGCCAGCCCAUCUGCAACUUGAUUCACUUCUCUAUUG